AACGAACGCUGGCGGCAGGCUUAACACAUGCCAGUCGAACGCCCCGCAAGGGGUUUGGCAGACGGGUGAGUAACGCGUGGGAACAUACCCUUUCCUGCGGAAUAGCUCCGGGAAACUGGUAUUAAUACCGCAUACGCCCUACGGGGGAAAGAUUUAUCGGGGAAGGAUUGGCCCGCGUUGGAUUUGCUAGUUGGUGGGGUAAAGGCCUACCAAGGCGACGAUCCUUAGCUGGUCUGAGAGGAUGAUCAGCCACAUUGGGACUGAGACACGGCCCAAACUCCUACGGGAGGCAGCAGUGGGGAAUAUUGGACAAUGGGCGCAAGCCUGAUCCAGCCAUGCCGCGUGAGUGAUGAAGGCCUUAGGGUUGUAAAGCUCUUUCACCGAUGAAGAUAAUGACGGUAGUCGGAGAAGAAGCCCCGGCUAACUUCGUG
rnacentral:rRNA from 1 species